UAUAUUUUGGUGUAUGAUGCACGGGAAUUUUUGAUGUUUCAGGAAGUAGUUUAAUUCUAUUAAAUGUAA
rnacentral:tRNA from 1 species